GAUGAACGCUGGCGGCGUGCCUAAUACAUGCAAGUCGAGCGAACAGACGAGGAGCUUGCUCCUCUGACGUUAGCGGCGGACGGGUGAGUAACACGUGGAUAACCUACCUAUAAGACUGGGAUAACUUCGGGAAACCGGAGCUAAUACCGGAUAAUAUAUUGAACCGCAUGGUUCAAUAGUGAAAGACGGUGUUGCUGUCACUUAUAGAUGGAUCCGCGCCGCAUUAGCUAGUUGGUAAGGUAACGGCUUACCAAGGCAACGAUGCGUAGCCGACCGGAGAGGGUGAUCGGCCACACGAGAACGGAGACACGGUCCAGGCUCCUGAGGGAGGCAGCAGUAGGGAAUGUUCCGCAAUGGGCGGAAGCCUGACGGAGCAACGCCGCGUGAGUGAUGAAGGUCUUCGGAUCGUAAAACUCUGUUAUUAGGGAAGAACAAAUGUGUAAGUAACUGUGCACGUCUUGACGGUACCUAAUCAGAAAGCCACGGCUAACUACGUG
rnacentral:rRNA from 1 species